rnacentral:rRNA from 1 species
AUACCAGACUCCUACGGGAGGCAGCAGUGGGGGAUAUUGCACAAUGGGGGGAACCCUGAUGCAGCGACGCCGCGUGGGUGAAGAAGCGCCUCGGCGCGUAAAGCCCUGUCAGCAGGGAAGAAAAUGACGGUACCUGACUAAGAAGCCCCGGCUAACUACGUGCCAGCAGCCGCGGUAAUACGUAGGGGGCAAGCGUUAUCCGGAUUUACUGGGUGUAAAGGGAGCGUAGACGGCAUGGCAAGUCAGAUGUGAAAGCCCGGGGCUCAACCCCGGGACUGCAUUUGAAACUGUCGGGCUGGAGUGCAGGAGAGGUAAGUGGAAUUCCUAGUGUAGCGGUGAAAUGCGUAGAUAUCAGGAGGAACACCGGCGGCGAAGGCGGCCUGCUGGACCGCGACUGACGUUGAGGCUCGAAAGCGUGGGGAGCGAACAGGAUUAGAUACCCUCGUAUAA